rnacentral:rRNA from 1 species
UACGAAGGGGGCUAGCGUUGCUCGGAAUCACCGGGCGUAAAGCGCACGUAGGCGGCUUGCUAAGUCAGGGGUGAAAUCCUGGAGCUCAACUCCAGAACUGCCUUUGAUACUGGCGAUCUUGAGUCCGGGAGAGGUGAGUGGAACUGCGAGUGUAGAGGUGAAAUUCGUAGAUAUUCGCAAGAACACCAGUGGCGAAGGCGGCUCACUGGCCCGGUACUGACGCUGAGGUGCGAAAGCGUGGGGAGCAAACAGG